rnacentral:rRNA from 1 species
AUGACCCCGUAACUUCGGGAGAAGGGGUGCUCUGUUAGGGUGCAAGCCCGAGAGAGCCGCAGUGAAUAGGCCCAGGCGACUGUUUAGCAAAAACACAGGUCGCUGCGAAGCCGUAAGGCGAAGUAUAGGGGCUGACGCCUGCCCGGUGCUGGAAGGUUAAGAGGAGCGCUUAGCGUAAGCGAAGGUGCGAAUUGAAGCCCCAGUAAACGGCGGCCGUAACUAUAACGGUCCUAAGGUAGCGAAAUUCCUUGUCGGGUAAGUUCCGACCCGCACGAAAGGCGCAACGAUCUGGGCACUGUCU